rnacentral:rRNA from 1 species
AGGAUAGUACGGUGAAGCACUUUGAAAGAGGUUAAACAGCACGUGAAACAAGUUAAAAGGGAAGCGCUUGUGACCAGACUUGCGUCCGGUGAAUCACCCAGCUCUCGCGGCUGGGGCAUUUUGCCGGCUCAGGCCAGCAUCAGCUUGCCGUCGGGGACAAAAGCUUCGGGAACGUAGCUCUCUUCGGGGAGUGUUAUAGCCCGUUGCAUAAUACCCUUCGGUGGGCUGAGGUACGCGCUCCGCAAGGAUGCUGGCGUAAUGGUCAUCAGCGACCCGUCUUGAAACACGGACCAAG